GAUGAACGCUGGCUACAGGCUUAACACAUGCCAGUCGAGGGGAAACGACGGGGAAGCUUGCUUCCCCGGGCGUCGACCGGCGCACGGGUGAGUAACGCGUAUCCAACCUGCCUCUGACUGAGGGAUAACCCGUCGAAAGUCGGCCUAAUACCUCAUGGUAUCGUCUGCGGGCAUCCAACGACGAUUAAAGAUUUCAUCGGUCAGGGAUGGGGAUGCGUCUGAUUAGCUUGUUGGCGGGGUAACGGCCCACCAAGGCUACGAUCAGUAGGGGUUCUGAGAGGAAGGUCCCCCAGAUUGGAACUGAGACACGGUCCAAACUCCUACGGGAGGCAGCAGUGAGGAAUAUUGGUCAAUGGGCGAGAGCCUGAACCAGCCAAGUAGCGUGCAGGAAGACGGCCCUAUGGGUUGUAAACUGCUUUUAGGCGGGGAUAAAGUGAGGGACGUGUCCCUCAUUGCAGGUACCGCAUGAAUAAGGACCGGCUAAUUCCGUG
rnacentral:rRNA from 1 species